rnacentral:piRNA from 1 species
GAGAGGGAAUUGCUCUUGAGAGCCGAA